GUGAAAUUACCAUUUCAUCCAUAUUAUUAAGGUUUCAAAUAAUUUUUCUGUUGAACCAAAGGGUUCAGAGACAUGCUUUUAUAAAUAUAAUUUGAAAAAAAAAAAUCAGCCUACUGACCACACUCUACUGUGCAGGCCAAAGCACAUCGUACGGUUAACGACUGCAUCAACUAUAUCAAACUUAAGUUGGAGCCGACUCUCAUUUGCAUCUAUGAAAUAACUGAAUGUCUUAUAUCAGUUACAAAUUAACUUAUUGAUAAGAGACAUCAGGGAGAGUAAGCAGCAGUGCAAUUGUUCUCACAUAACAAACUCCAAGAGUGUCUACAAAAUUGACCUCAAAACCGACGACUUAGCGACAAUUUCUCUCAUGAUGCUCCAACUUUCUGAGCUUUAUUUGGUCGACCAGUCGAAUGAUUAUCUCUAGAUCGGGGGUGUUUACCACCACCUCUCUGGUGUUUUCCUCUCCUUCCGCGGUUGCCUUUAUUUUCCCAAUGUUUUUCUUGAUUGCCACGCAGCAGGUUCCAGUACUCCUCCUCUGCCUCACCAGUCACUGGUUCUAAAAUGGCAAUGAAAUUCUUUACAAUCAAGCCACCUUCUUUAGCUAAGACUGCAGUUGCACGAGCUUUCUGUGCUGCUUCAGGUUGUUCAAAUCUAACAUAUCCUGAAUCCUCUCCAAUCUUGAAAUCAACAAACUUGACAGUGCCAAAUUUUCCCAAGACAGCCUUCAAAUCUUCACGCAAUACAACAUUCAUGUCGUCCCUAUAGGCAUCAGCUUUGGAUUUCCCCUCUUUUUCCUUGUCCUUUCCAGUGGGAUCUUCAGCAGACUUCUCCCCUUCUUCCACUUGUAUUUCUUUACUUUCAGAGCCAAUUUCUUCAUUGGCCUUUUCUUCCUUUCCCUCCUCAAUAUUCAUCUCAUUAUUUUCUUUAUCAUCAGAGACAUUCUCUGACUCCUUCUGUUCAUUUUCUUGAGCAUCGUUCUCUGAGGAUUUUAAUCCUCCGUCAGCUUUACAGACCUUUGAAUCAACACUGACAGGCUCUUGAGCACCAUCGCCUUCCACAGAAUCUCCAGCUGACAAGCCCUUUAAAGCAAAUGCGACGAUUAAACCCUUUGGAUAGGUUGCUUCUGCAUUUGAAUAGUUCUUGUUAUUUGAAACUGUCAAGAGGCGGGAAUUUUUGAAUUCCUCUUCUUGUUUUGCUCUUGCUGCAUCAAAUUCCUUCUUUGGUUUUAAUUCUAGUUGUACACCACCAAAAACCAAACUUUGCUUCAAAACAUUUUCAGCAUCUUCCUCUGUUGAGAACUCAAUCAAUGCAGUGCCACAAAAUACCCUUUUGUCUGCCACGUGACGAGGCAUCCUCACACUUGACACCUUGACAUAUUUUCCUAAAAAUGAUUCCACAUCCUCCCGCUUCACAUCAUACUCUAGAGGUGAUGCAGCAAUUGUUCUUAUGUCCAAUUGCUCUAUUGCCUCUUCUGGCUUUAAGAGUGCAGCAAUCCUACCAACUUUCUUCCCUAAGAUGGACAAGCCAACAAAUAAUUUGGUAAGAAAAAUUACAUUUUUUGUGAAUACCAGGCAAAACAACAGAUGACAGAUUCGGUUCUUGACCUAUAAUUCAGAUUAGUUUGCUGUUUUGGAGCCCAAAUCAACGGUCAAAUCAGAUAUUCAACUAGGAAAAUUCCCAGAUUUAGAAACCCAAUCCCAUUCUAAGCCAUGAAGUUAAACCGAAGUUCCACUGAGCAAAGAUUUUAGAAAUCUCAGUUCAGCGAAAUUAACUAAGCUGAUUUUCUUUUCUUAUCGUGCGAUUCACUCAUUACCUAGACAAAGAAUAAAAGAAAUUUAGGGACAAAAAAAGGGGGCAAAAUGACAGAAAAGUUACCAUCUUCAGAAACUUUAAGAGAAGUAGAUUUCCUAAGAGUUUCAGCAACUGCCUUGACAGUAUCUUCCGGCACCUCUUCGGGCUUCAAGUCCUUCAAUUUCAGAUAAGCUUUCAUCUUCUUAAACGAGCAUAUCAAUGCAAGACUUACCACUUUUUCCCGGAGUCAAGAUCAGCAAUUUCCAAACAAACAACAAAGAAUCUAAUCUGAACUAAAGCCAAGCUCACAAUCAUACACAAAAGAGCAAUGAUAUUAAAGUGCAAGGAUACUGCCAUCCUCACUGGCGUUGAUAGUUCUUCUCAUAAAAUUGUCUCUGGGGAGAUUGCUAUCACUGAAGUAAAACUCCACCUGUCUAAGGACUUCUUUCGCCGUCCCUUCUUCCAAAGAAGGCAUCGCCAUUAUCGUACAGCUGAAGGUAGAGAGAGAGAGAGAGAGUUAGAAAUUAGCAAUAAAAAUGAAAACGGGAAAGACGAUGGUGGGAAUAGUUAUAGUAAUAGAAGAAGAUGAAGUGCAGAAGAAGAAGAGAAGAGACUUAUUAGAGAUGCGUGCAAACUCCGGAAGAAAGGGGACCUUCUCCGUGCUCUUCCUUUUCCUCCUUUUGAUUCUCAUUUUGCCUCGUAUUUAAUCC
rnacentral:misc_RNA from 1 species